rnacentral:rRNA from 1 species
UACGUAGGGGGCAAGCGUUGUCCGGAAUCAUUGGGCGUAAAGAGCGUGUAGGCGGUUCGAUAAGUCUGCUGUGAAAGUCCAGGGCUCAACCCUGGGAUGCCGGUGGAUACUGUCGGGCUAGAGUACGGAAGAGGCGAGUGGAAUUCCCGGUGUAGCGGUGAAAUGCGCAGAUAUCGGGAGGAACACCGGUGGCGAAGGCGGCUCUCUGGACGGUGACUGACGCUGAGACGCGAAAGCGUGGGGAGCAAACGGG